GACGAACGCUGGCGGCGUGCUUAACACAUGCAAGUCGAACGGAAAGGCCCUUCGGGGUUCUCGAGUCGCGAAGCGGUGAGUAACACGUGGGUGAUCUGACCUGAACUUUGGGUUAAGCCUGGGAAACCGGGUCUAAUACCGCACAUAAACAUCGGCUUCACGGCCGGUGGUGGCAAGCGUUUGCGGGGUGGGAUGGGCGGGCGGCUUAUCAGCUCGUAGGUGGAGGAAUGGGCUACCAAGGCGCCGACAGGUAGCCGGCCGGAGAGGGUGACCGGCCACACUGGGACUGAGAUACGGACCAGACUCGUACGGGAGGCAGCAGUGGGGAGUAUUGCCCAAUGGGCGCAAGCCUGAUGCAGCGACGCCGCGUUAGGGAUGACGGCCUUUGGGUUGUGAACCUCUUUCAGCAAAGACGAAGCGGAAGUGACGGUACGUGCAGAAGAAGGACCGGCCAACUACGUG
rnacentral:rRNA from 1 species